CAGCGAGAUUAAAGACGGAAUAAGCAUGUAGAUCUCGUAGCGUAGGGCUUGCGGACGCGAGUUCGAUUCUCGCCACCUCCACCA
rnacentral:tmRNA from 1 species